rnacentral:rRNA from 1 species
AUUGAACGCUGGCGGCAGGCUUAACACAUGCAAGUCGAGCGGGGAGAUGUAGCUUGCUACAUUUCCUAGCGGCGGACGGGUGAGUAAUGCUUAGGAAUCUGCCUAUUAGUGGGGGACAACAUUCCGAAAGGAAUGCUAAUACCGCAUACGCCCUACGGGGGAAAGCAGGGGAUCUUCGGACCUUGCGCUAAUAGAUGAGCCUAAGUCAGAUUAGCUAGUUGGUGGGGUAAAGGCCUACCAAGGCGACGAUCUGUAGCGGGUCUGAGAGGAUGAUCCGCCACACUGGGACUGAGACACGGCCCAGACUCCUACGGGAGGCAGCAGUGGGAAUAUUGGACAAUGGGCGAAAGCCUGAUCCAGCCAUGCCGCGUGUGUGAAGAAGGCCUUUUGGUUGUAAAGCACUUUAAGCGAGGAGGAGGCUACUUAGAUUAAUACCCUAGGAUAGUGGACGUUACUCGCAGAAUAAGCACCGGCUAACUCUGUGCCAGCAGCCGCGGUAAUACAGAGGGUGCGAGCGUUAAUCGGAUUUACUGGGCGUAAAGCGUGCGUAGGCGGCUUUUUAAGUCGGAUGUGAAAUCCCUGAGCUUAACUUAGGAAU